rnacentral:rRNA from 1 species
UCUAGGGGAGGCAGCAGUGGGGACUAUUGGGCAAUGGGUGCAAGCCUGACCCAGCAACGCCGCGUGAAGGAAGAAGGCUUUCGGGUUGUAAACUUCUUUUCUCAGGGACGAAGCAAGUGACGGUACCGGAGGAAUAAGCCACGGCUAACCACGUGCAAGCAGCCGCGGAAAUACGUAGGGGGCAAGCGUUAUCCGGAUUUACUGGGUGUAAAGGGCGUGUAGGCGGGGAGGCAAGUCAGAGUUGAAAACCACGGGCUCAACCUGUGGCCUGCAUUUGAAACUGUGUUUAUUGAGUACUGGAGAGGCAGACGGAAUUCCUAGUGUAGCGGUGAAAUGCGUAGAUAUUAGGAGGAACACCAGUGGCGAAGGCGGUCUGCUGGUCAGCAACUGACGCUGAGGCGCGAAAGCGUGGGGAGCAAACAGGAUUAGAUACCCGUGUAGUC